rnacentral:lncRNA from 1 species
UUGCUUCCUGAAUUAUGAUGGAGGUGUUUUUCCCACCAUAUGGACCGUUAUCUUUGUACAGCUGAAAGCAGCAGAAAAAAAAACAUCACCUGAAAAAACCUCAACAUGUGUCUUUAUAUAGACUGCAGAAGAUGGAGCUUUUUGUUUUCUCACUUAAAAUAUGUUAUCUUCUUUAAUGAGCUGGCUCCUGUGGUUUCUUCUCUUUCACCUUCUAAACACACCUUUGGAGGCAGGGUUGUCUGGCUUCAAACAGCACCUGAGAUUAUCCAUCUGACGUAAACCUCCACAAACACUGGAGAAGCUGAUUGGUCCACCGGCAGCCUCACUCGAUGACAUCUCUGCGGAAAGCUUCUCAUUUGAGGUCUGCUUUGUUUGUGAAAAACUGAAUUUUUUUUUUCCUCUUUUUUUUUUUUUUCUUUUUCUGAAUGCCAGCUCCAGCUGCUAACAAGCACAAUAAACUCACACCAACAGGUGUGUGAAACACCUGUGUCUGUGCAGCAGUUCAUACUGGACACUAUGAUUUAAGAGGCUGCGUGUGUCUUUGUGCGCAGGAGCGGUGAGGGCUGCAGGUGUGUGUGUUUGACAAGAAACGUCAUCACUCUGGUGUUUCUAACACACACACACACACACACACACACACACACACACACACACACACACAACAUGUUUCUAUCUACAAGCCCCUGUAUUGACAGGAGGACAGAGUUAUGUGAUGUGCUUGUACAGUCAUAGUCCUGUGUCGGUGAUGGUCGGUACAACAGUGACUCAGUAGAUGAGUGAGAUGAUUGUUUCCUUUGUAUAACGCACAAAAACACACACAUGCAGAAACCAAAGACAUGUUGGUGUGAAGAUGAGAGGGAAGAGAGUUGAAGAAAAACUGUUUUUGUUUUGGAUUAUUAAUUGAAUUUAGUCACAAUGUUUCCCCCGUAAAAAAGAUCACUUUAGUUGUGACACUUUGUUCUUUGUGCAGCUUUACAAGCUUUUGUUAUUUCAGAGCUGAACUACAAGAAGAAACGUGUCCAUACUGAACCCACUGCAGAUAUUUGCAGUGUCUUUUUUUGUCUAUCUGCAGGUUUUGCAGAGAUGCAGAUGUGAGAAUACCAUCAUGCUGCAGGCGAUCCUUCAGUGAUAGAAACCUGUAAUCAGAUUCCACAGUAACUGUACCAAUGAAAUACCCCGGUACUAACAAUCCAACCAUGGACAAAACCUUACAGGACAUCUCUCACCUGAGCUACUCUUAGACACAAAUAGUGGUUCCUGGUACCUUAAAACUUUGCUUGAGUUGCAAAACUUAACACUUAAAGUAGUGGACAUACAGUAGAUGCCAAACAAGCACUGUUACCAAAUAUCUGGAUGAAGAGAUGGUGACAUUUUCCACAGUGAAGAAAACAACAUUUGACAAGCUGUAUGAGUUUCACAAGAAGCAAAUGUUGGAAGUGAAAGGUAACGUAAAACCUGUUGAAAGUUUGACAAUCAAACUCCCCUCAUGCCGCAGCGGAGAAAGUCCCCACAACCUAACACAUAAAAUCCAUAAAGACACAGGGGUUACUUCAAAUCAACAAAGACCUUAUUGUAUGACCUUGUUUAAGUUGUUGCUAGCUGCGUGAUAUGGAAGAAAAAAACCCUUUAUUUUUCAGGAAAUGGAAUCAAAAGCAUGACACUGGACAAAAUAUGGAGAAUAGUUUGAUUAAUACUAAAAGAUUUUUGCUGGCAGUCAAAAAGAAAAACAUAAUAAAUAUGAUAUACACAUAUAUUCGUUUUGGUUAGGUUAAGUGCUAAGGUGUGUGUCAUCCAUGUAAGAGUGGAAGUUGAGACUGUGUUGGCAGUUGAUCUGUCCUGAAUGUGGACAAUGAAGAGGAGGGUCCCAAGCACAGAGCCUUGAGGAACACCAUGACUGGGGCUUGAGAGGGUCAUGAGAGUUGCCUAUGGUGACAGACUUUUUCCUAUUCGAAAGACAGGACUGAAACCAGGAGAGAGGUGUUCCUGUGAUGAGCAUGCUAAUGUUUCCAGAAUCUGCAGAAGUGAUAUUCAAACAGGAAGUAAAAAAAAACAACACUUUUAGAAAUAUGUUGCUUUCUAUGAGACCCUGGUCUGAAGUCCCAUAGUUAUAACCCUCCUUAAGUACCUGUGAAUGCCUCGGUUUUUGUUUGUAGCAGUGAGCAUGUUUGUCUCUUUUGGAGUUCGGACCCAACCUGCUCAGUAUGACUGACAGCACGGUGUGAUAUGAAUGUCAUCAGAGCGUGUUCAAAUGUUAUUGCGUGUAAAUAUUUGUUGUAGAAACAGUGAGAGGACACUGAGGGGACUAGCUAAUGAAGGCUGCAUUUGUGUGAGUGCGUCUGCAGCUACUUUAGCCUUUGUGUUUACUCAGUACAGUGUGUGUGUGUGUGUGUGUGUGUGUGUGUGUGUGUGUGUGUGUGUGUGUGUGUGUGUUGGGACCUUAAAUCCCCACUCUGCACAAACUGCUCCUAUGAUGUGAGGGAUUAUAUUUAAAUCCAUGGCUUUCUAACAAAAUUUACAGUUUCUUUUUUCAGCUGUGGUCCCCAAAGGUGAGGCAGUAACGGUCCUGUGUGCGUUUGCAGUAUUUGUGUGAGUGUGUGGGAUCAUAAGGGGCUGGCACAGGCUCCCUCUGCUGUUUCUGACUCCAAUGUUUGCCAAAUAUGGAUUGUGUUAAAGGUCUCCAUUAGCAUAAAGCUCCCAGUGAAAGUGCUCUGCUCUCCCCCAGCAUGACAACUGGCUGUUUGUGCUGUCUGAUAGAAGAAGAGUCAGAAUCACUGCUGCUAUUUGCACAGACUGCUGUUCCUCUACAAAAUAUAAAGGAUGUAGCUGCUCUGGCCUUUAAACGGUCUAUACAAUCCAGACAAAAGAGCACAAAGAAGGGCAUUAUCCCUCUUAUACCACCAGCAUUUACUCAGAAAAUAAAAACUAGUCAGUGCUAAUAUAACUUCAUGAGGUUAGCAUUGAAAUAUUUAACAAGCGAUCACAGUUGACAUACAGUAAAUACAUAUUGAGCAGCAAUACAAGCUAACUAAACCGCUACCAUGCCAUGGUCCCCAAUAGAUUUACAGAUGAAGCCUGUCACAUGUGUCUCUAUCUUGGGGAGGGGUUUCCAGCCGUCUGAUCCCCUGUUGGGGAGAUAAAAAUGCUUAAUGCAGUUUCUGCAUAUGUCAGUGAAAUGUCAGCACUAAGCUAUGAAUAAAUAACAUUUCCAAGGUACAUGACAUGUCAUAUUUCAUGGUAAUUAAAAAGUAAUUAAUAAACUUUGAAAUCUGUAAUCAAAACCCCACUGUACAAUCAUUUUACAUCUGCAGAUGCUUCAGUUAUCUCUUGUUUUUAAUACAUUCAAAAGUACAAACUCUUGAUUUACAACAAUCUUUCAAAGUUUUUCUGUCUCAUUUAGAGUGAGAUUUUGCAUUUUAGGUGCAGUUUAACAGCACUAAACACUUAAGAAGUGUUGACAGAAGUCAACUAUUCCUUAAAGGGAUAUUCCUGUAUUAAUUUAAGUUAUGGUCAAACACACCGUAACACCGAGUUAGACACCCCCUGGAGAGACGAAUGUUGCUGACCGCUUGCUUCUCCAGUUUUACCAACUUUAGUAACGACCACACAAUAGCAAUACACAGCGGUCUAUGUCUCCAUGCACAAACCUCAACCAAAACGCCACUCUAUAGCCACAAAUAAUGCUCAGAACAUCACCUAACUUCAUCAACAGUACAUAUAGGGUCCCAGCCAUAGCACUAGCCACCAAACAUCUUUUUAGCUUUAGCUUUGAUUUCUUUAGCAAAGAGACUAAAAACAACUCACACACUCUCUUCCAGCAGCCGCUUGUUAGUGGGGGAGCCUUGACGAGUCGAUCACAGAGUGCAGCGGAUCAUUUCCAUAAAGUAAUGUUCACCAUAUUAAUCAUUUUGUACUGCAGACGCGGUAGUUCUUCUGCCUUAGCGUCUAUGUCUGAUUGCAUUUCCAUGAAGUAAUGAUCAUAAAUUGAGCUGCAAAACUCCGCUGCACUCGGUGACUUAUUCAAGUGGCUUUUAAAACUGUUUCUUGUAAAACAUAUGGGUAAGUUGUCACAUUGCAAUUAUCAUUGCCACCAGAUGGCACAACUAAAAAGUGGAAUACUAGUUUUCUACCUUUACAUGGUCAGGGGUCGUGUCCUGUCUGAGAAGAGAAGAGCACAUUGUGAGCUGAGUUGAGCGACGUUGGUGUAACUAGAGAAGCAAGCAGUUGGCAACAUUAAUCUCUCAAGGGGUGUCUAACAUAGAGUUACGGUGUGUUUGACCCUAAGUUAAUUUUACGCUGGAAUAUCCCUUAAAGGUAUCAUACUGGAUACUCUUCCAGUUGAUUUAACAUUAACAGGGUGCCCUAAGGAUACUUUUAUUAUCAAAACAUAAAAAGUGCCCUCGGUGUGGCUUUGCAGUCUAAAAGAUUUGUAAAAAUUCCCCUGAAUACUCCUCAGAUUAAUAAAAAAGAUGUGAGAUGCUUUUUUGAUAGUUUAGUCUUUAAAGUGUCAAAUCAGUUAAAACAGUUUUAUCUUAUUAUUUAUUUCACAUUAGACUUCUUAGCGUAAAGUUAAAAACAUUGCAUUAAUAUAUGUAAAUAUACUUUUGGGAAACUUACUGAGCAGAAUACAGGGACUUACAUGUUGGACGCUCAACAUAUUUUAGUGGCCACUCCCUUCUCAUUAUUAAGGCCUAAAUAAGUUUGAAUGAUGAUCCACAAUGUGGAAAUUUCAAUCCAGACCAUUAGGGCCAAACAAAUUUUGAAUGGCUUACCAUUAUUUUUGACAGGGUGACCCAGGUCUUUAGUGCCACAACUCUAUGAUCACAGAGUGCCAAGGAGGGACAGAAAAGUGAAGAGCUAGAAAAUGGUUUUCCAAAUGCUGCAGAAGCAGAUCUUCAUUAAUCACACCUUUCUGUAUACCCCAUGCCAUAAAAGAGGACCUUUUUUUUUUUUCAUUCACCAUCAAACAGCCUCAGCAUGCCCCUGAAUAUGAUGAUAAUGGCCAGUAUCUGAGGAUCAGCAUUGCUUCUGAUUGGAGGAUCCAGCUAGUUAAUCUCUGCACAGCUGUGGAUCAUGUUUAGAGCAAAAAAGCACUUAGCUUAGCCUCUGUAGCUCAUCAAACAUUAUCAAACGCCUCCUGUAGCCUUCAUAAACACAGAGAGCAGCUAACUGUGGACUCUGUGAUAGUGAUCCAGACCAAAGUUUAGUGAGGAUAACUGGAAGUUAAGCACUUCACUCUCCAUUAAAACUUAAUGGUGUGGUAAACAUCAUGCUGUUAGCGUUUAUCCUCUGUGUGAGGGCGCAGCAGUGAACAUCCGUGUUAGAGCAAACACUAUGUGGCACACAGCAGUGAUUGUACAGCUAACUCUGGGACUUUAUGAGAAGCUUCCUGAUAUUUUCUUUGUGCUUAUUACCAUCUAACGUCUCAUAAAAUUAAAGGAAACGGUAUAUUAAACCUCUUAAUACUUUCUGCCUCCCCUGCCUCUCUUCUCCUGUUUUCUUUUUAAGGACAAAAAAAUCGCCAAAAUCAUCACUAAUGACUCUUGUGUUUUAAGUUUUUCUGAUCAGUGUAUCAUGGUCCAGCUGCUUUAAGUAUUUCUUUGGUACUUACAUCUUGCUUUUAUUGUGCACACCUUGACCCCAUCAGCCCCUGCAGAGACAUAUAUCGAUUUUGCUUUUUUUCCGGCCUGCUUUUCUGUCUUUGAGGACAUUGUGUAACCUGAAUGACUCAUAUAAGCACCAUAAAGCUCAGUUACUUUCUGAUUCUACAAUCAUCACUUUAUGAAGAACAUUUUACUUUGAAAAAAGAAAAAGAAAAAAACAACAAUAAAUUAAACCAUUAGACAUUUUACAGAAAAGCACAAAGUUACUGUGGUAGAGUUACCAUAGGUUAAGAUGGUUUGUAAGUUUAUUUCAGCCUGCGGUUUAACAGCUGGUUUUGGUGGCGGUCCUUUAUAAACUGGUCUGGCUCUCCUUAAGUCAGCCCACCUUUAGCAACUUAUUUCAGUCUGAUUUCUUCUUCCUCUCUUUUCUCUGUGUUGUUAUUUUCUAAACCCUUAUCACAACCUUUGAGACAGGACCCUCUGAGCUAAAAAAGUUAAGAUUUUGGUUGAUGUGAAGCAAGUUUAAUGUCUCCUAUCAGAAAAUUGUACCCUGUCACAGGUGUUUUGAUGCUGUAUUGAUCAUUUUUUGUCUGGGCUUAUCUGCUAACUGCUCAAAUAAUCAACCAAAGAAAGUUCCUCAAAUGUAUUUGAAGAUGAGAAAAGAUUAAAUACUACUGUAUUGAUCACUAGAGAGGAAACAAGUCACAACGUCAAAGGGACAAGGUCAGCAGGUUAGUAGAUUUAAUGAACAACAUGAUGAUGAACAUGAGAAGAUAAACAUGAAUAUUUUACAAUAAAAAGAGCGUACUAGUCAAUUUUCACUUGACUAGUCAUGUGAAAGUUGUUGAAUAAAAUGACAUGGUUUAAUAUGAUAAAAGGAGCAGCAAGUUUACAUCAGGACAGUGUAACUUAUGGGGUACAAUAUAUACCAUACUGUGGUGGUAAAAUUCUCCUUAAACAGUUUUAAAAACCACUUGAAUGAGACGAGCCUGUCCUGAGGCGUGUCAACUUUCAUUCAUAAAAUAAUUCCAGUACUCACAGGUCUGCAGUUGUUCCAUUUAUUUGUCAGAUGUAUAUUCCAUUGAGCUCACCAUUCAAAAACAAAACAUAAUAUCAAAAAAGGGCUUCAAUUCAGCUCACAUUUCACGGUCAAAAAACAUUUUGCGUACUGCUCAUCUCAGCCUGUACCAAACAAAAGGAGUAACCUGUGCACCUGCACUGGCUGACCUAAAAGAUUGUGACUCCACCCAUGACCAAAUAAUACUUACGCCGAGCUGCGCCGCUCACCAAAAUACCAAAAUGUGCUUAGGCGCGCCUUAUCAGUGCUGCGGACCUGUCUUACGCCACGCCUUCACCACGCUGCCGGUGAGGCAGGAAAAUAGAGCCCUAACAAUGUAUUUUUGAAGCUUUUGGCCUUUGACAGGACAGGACCGUGGAUGAGGUAGGAGAGUGACAUACAGGCUGGAAUCAAAACCAGCAGCAGUUUACCAUAUCUUGUUAACUUCAUCAUGUGUGUCUAUUUACUAGAUAUUUAAUUUAUUUAAUGCGGUUUUAGCUGUGUUGAUUCGGUCAGGUUGUGUGUCCAAACGCGUGCCAAACGCGCUCAUCAGAUCAGAUAUAGAUCAGAAUAUAUCUAUAGAUCUAAAUGUAUGUGCUGACUCAGAUUAUUAGUUGUCGAUGAUUAUUUAUUGCACUGAAAUGUGCCUGACACUGUGGAAACCUGCCGGUGAGGCAUCGGCCGAUACGCCGCCGGUCUACCAAAAUACCACUAGACCAGCUGUGCUCCGCCUGCGCUGAAAGCUGACCAGGUUUGAAUCGGCAAGCUUUCAGCCACCACACCCAGCUUGGCGGACCUUGGUGCGCCUCAGUCCACGAAAAUACCAAACUGGAUGUACGCCAGGCUCUGCCAGACGAAAAUACCACUGCACGGGAUCCGCCACCCUCCUCCGCGUCCCCGGCGGACACAAAAAUAGAGCCCGGAGUGUUUUUGACUGAGCAUCAUUUGCACUUUUUUUUUUUAAAUGCGCAAUGCAUUUUCAUUUUACUUGCAUUUACUUUGAACUUUUGCACAUGUUUUUAAAGUUGCAUAGUUUGGGCGUUUUGGAGAGGACUAUGCAGAUGGUCUGCAUGUAGAUCCAGACUCACACCUGUGGGGGUCAGCAUGGAUUGUUGGAGAAGGCAAAAGUCCUCAGGAAGAGAAUUUCUACAUCCUUCAUCACCUCGACCUGCCCCAGUCGGAACACUACACCAGCUGUGAUGACCUGCAUGUUUUAACUCAUCUUUAUUAGAUUUCAAUAAUCCUGUUAAUUGCUUCCUUAUCUAUAAAAAAUGAUAAGAUCAAACUCAGAUUGCUGGCUUCAAGCUUGGAAAUCAAAUUAAAUUUUCACACAUGGUCUUUGUCCUUCUCUGCAGAUCCAGAGUGAAAAUCCUCUGUAUUAUUAAGAGCAGAGGGCUGACCACAGAGCAGGAAACUAACCUCACAGCUGAACAUGUAAGUUUAAUGAGCUGCAGGUCCUCAGAGUGAUGGUUUCACAGGGUGGGCGGUCUCCCAUGAAAGGAUGAGAAGGGACAGUAAAUCACAACUCCCUGCUGAGGAUUUAAACUGAACGAUGAAUAAUGUCCCGGAGGCACCUGUCUACAGGCCCCUCCCCCUCUGCUGCUCCUGUAAACCUCACCCUCCUCCUCCUUGUUCAUCCCGAGCAGAGGGAGGAUGUUGGGGUUACACCUAAACUGCUUCAGUAACCAGCUUUAAUCUACGACUCAGCCGUUCCUUUUAUAGAUUUGGCCUCUCGGAGUACGACGCAGCACUUUCUCUCCCCGUUCCUCCAUUAGAGGCUCCUGCAGGAGAAAAGGGGGCACAGCUGGGCGUGUUUCAUUAAGAUUACAGACGUGUUGCCUGUUCUGCUUUCUGUUUCUCUUUCCUCACAUUACUGGCUCACUGAGCGUGACAUGACUUAUGGCCGUGCAGUUUGGGCCGGGGGGUGAGUUUUAAUUAACCCUGAGAGGAUCGGCAGGAUGGGCACUUCCUGCUUCACUCUGCAUGUUGGACCUAACAGAGCGGGCCCCUGAAGGCAGGGCAGUGGGCUCUGGAUCUCAGCUCCUUCUUAAAGGGUUGAUUUUAACGACAUAGGUACUGCUGCUGCACAACAAGCCAAUGAGGAGCAAGGAGAACAGAAAAAAAAACGAUCCAGAUCCAGAUCCUCUGUUUGGGUUGUAAUUGAAGAAGGAUGUUUUAAUCAGUGUCAAAUCUGCAGAGUCAUUAAACAUGCAAACAGAUCUACGAAUAUGUUGUGUUCCUUUUCUGAGGAUUGUGUGAGAUCAUUUUGUUUUCAGCUGAAAUAGAAGUGAAACAAGUAUCAUGUUUCCUUUUGUUGUCUUUUGUAGUUUCAAAAAGACAAAGUGAAAAUUUCAGUUUUAUUCAGGUUUGAUGUAUUAAAGGUGCAAAAUGUUGUUUGAAGUAAUGAUCAGUUACAUCCUAGUGGUCUGGUUCUAUUUGGUUUGGUAUGCAGUUAUCUGGUUUCUAUUGUCAAAGGUAUCAGUACAAUGGACAUACCUUUUUGGCACCUUUCUGUUGUGGUACAGCGUGUACUAAUCUGUUCCUUAACUGCACUGACUGAGAGACUGUACCGGUUUAUAUUUCUCUUAUAUGUUGAUGUAUUUUGUAUCUGGACUAGUGCAGGAUGACCACGACCCCUGUUGUCCAACAGUCUCAGGAAAGCAUCUCAGGUAUGUGAAAGUGUGUAGGCCCCCUCAUCCAGAUUGACCAUCCUCUAGGUUCACUCUCUGAUCUCCGCUGCCUCUCUUAUCC